rnacentral:rRNA from 1 species
UACGUAGGUGGCAAGCGUUGUCCGGAUUUACUGGGCGUAAAGGGCGUGCAGGCGGUUUGUUAAGUGUAGGGUGAAAGCUCCCGGCUCAACUGGGAGAGGUCCUUGCAUACUGGCAAACUCGAGGGAGGCAGAGGAAAGUGGAAUUCCCGGUGUAGUGGUGAUAUGCGUAGAUAUCGGGAGGAACACCUGUGGCGAAGGCGGCUUUCUGGGCCUUACCUGACGCUGAGACGCGAAAGCGUGGGGAGCGAACCGG